rnacentral:rRNA from 1 species
CAAUUUAAACAACGAAGAGUUUGAUCCUGGCUCAGGAUGAACGCUAGCGACAGGCUUAACACAUGCAAGUCGAGGGGCAGCACAGGUAGCAAUACCGGGUGGCGACCGGCGCACGGGUGAGUAACGCGUAUGCAACUUACCUAUCAGAGGGGGAUAACCCGGCGAAAGUCGGACUAAUACCGCAUGAAGCAGGGGCCCCGCAUGGGGAUAUUUGCUAAAGAUUCAUCGCUGAUAGAUAGGCAUGCGUUCCAUUAGGCAGUUGGCGGGGUAACGGCCCACCAAACCGACGAUGGAUAGGGGUUCUGAGAGGAAGGUCCCCCACAUUGGUACUGAGACACGGACCAAACUCCUACGGGAGGCAGCAGUGAGGAAUAUUGGUCAAUGGGCGUAAGCCUGAACCAGCCAAGUCGCGUGAGGGAUGAAGGUUCUAUGGAUCGUAAACCUCUUUUAUAAGGGAAUAAAGUGCGGGACGUGUCCCGUUUUGUAUGUACCUUAUGAAUAAGGAUCGGCUAACUCCGUGCCAGCAGCCGCGGUAAUACGGAGGAUCCGAGCGUUAUCCGGAUUUAUUGGGUUUAAAGGGUGCGUAGGCGGCCUUUUAAGUCAGC